AGUCAUAGAGUGACCGUACCGCAAACCGACACAGGUGGGCUGGUAGAGAAUACCAAGGCGCUUGAGAGAACUCAGGAGAAGGAACUCGGCAAAUUGAUACCGUAACUUCGGGAGAAGGUAUGCCCCCGGUACGUGAAGGCCCUCGCGGCCGGAGCGGAACGGGGUCGCAGAGAAUCGGUGGCUGCGACUGUUUAUUAAAAACACAGCACUCUGCAAACACGAAAGUGGACGUAUAGGGUGUGACGCCUGCCCGGUGCCGGAAGGUUAAGUGAUGGGGUGCAAGCUCUUGAUCGAAGCCCCGGUAAACGGCGGCCGUAACGAUAACGGUCCUAAGGUAGCGAAAUUCCUUGUCGGGUAAGUUCCGACCUGCACGAAUGGCGUAACGAUGGCCACACUGUCUCCUCCUGAGACUCAGCGAAGUUGAAAUGUUUGUGAAGAUGCAAUCUCCCCGCGGCUAGACGGAAAGACCCCAUGUACCUUUACUGUAGCUUUGCAUUGGACUCUGACGGGACUUGUGUAGGAUAGGUGGGAGGCUAUGAAACCGGGACGCCAGUUCCGGUGGAGCCAUCCUUGAAAUACCACCCUGGUGUCGUCGAGGUUCUAACCCAGGCCUGUGAAUCCAGGUCGGGGACCGUGCAUGGUGGGCAGUUUGACUGGGGCGGUCUCCUCCCAAAAGGUAACGGAGGAGUACGAAGGUCACCUAGGUACGGUCGGACAUCGUACUGAUAGUGCAAUGGCAAAAGGUGGCUUGACUGCGAGACCCACAAGUCGAGCAGGUGCGAAAGCAGGUCAUAGUGAUCCGGUGGUUCUGUAUGGAAGGGCCAUCGCUCAACGGAUAAAAGGUACUCUGGGGAUAACAGGCUGAUUCCGCCCAAGAGUUCACAUCGACGGCGGAGUUUGGCACCUCGAUGUCGGCUCAUCACAUCCUGGGGCUGUAGCCGGUCCCAAGGGUAUGGCUGUUCGCCAUUUAAAGUGGUACGUGAGCUGGGUUUAAAACGUCGUGAGACAGUUUGGUCCCUAUCUGCCGUGGGCGCUGGAAGUUUGAGAGGGCCUGCUCCUAGUACGAGAGGACCGGAGUGGACGCACCCCUGGUGUACCGGUUGUGACGCCAGUCGCAUCGCCGGGUAGCUAUGUGCGGAAGAGAUAACCGCUGAAAGCAUCUAAGCGGGGAACUCGCCUCAAGAUGAGACUUCCCCGGGGCCUCGAGCCCCCUGAAGGGUCGUUGAAGAC
rnacentral:rRNA from 1 species